rnacentral:lncRNA from 1 species
AAUGUUCCCCAAGUUUUGGACUCUUUACGAUAUCGAUUGGUCCACGAAAUUGGACAAUUCAGGUUCGUACGAAGUUCGUUCUGAAAUGGAGUGGUUGGUGUUUUGCACAGGUUCAGAGGUUGGAUUUCACUCAAAACUCCCCAAGUGACUCUUCCCACCGUAUUAUGAUGUUCCCCAAGUUUUGGACUCAAUCAAAUAUCAAUUGGUCCAUGAAAUUGGACAAUUCAGGUUCGUACGAAGUUCGUUCUGAAAUGGAGUGGUUAGUGUAUUGCAUAGUUUUAGCCAUUGGAUUUCACUCAAAAGUCACCAAAUGAAUCUUCCCGUCAUAUUAUGAUGUUCCACAAGUUUUGGACUCAAUCCGAUAUCGAUUGGUACAUGAAAUUGGACAAUUCAGGUUCGUUCUAAGUUCGUUCUGGAAUGGAGUGGUUGAUGUUUUGCAUAGUUUUAGAGAUUGGAUUUCACUUGGAACCCACCCCAAAU